UGGCGGACGGGUGAGUAACGCGUGGGUAACCUGCCUUGUACUGGGGGACGAACAGUUAGAAAUGACUGCUAAUACCGCAUAAGCACACAGGGCCGCAUGGUCUGGUGUGAAAAACUCCGGUGGUGUAAGAUGGACCCGCGUCUGAUUAGGUAGUUGGUGGGGUAACGGCCCACCAAGCCGACGAUCCAUAGCCGGCCUGAGAGGGUGAACGGCCACAUUGGGACUGAGACACGGCCCAGACUCCUACGGGAGGCAGCAUG
rnacentral:rRNA from 1 species